rnacentral:tRNA from 1 species
GUUACUACUAAUCGAACCUACACCAAUGGCCAGUAUAGUCAUUCUUUUACCAUAGUAGACUCAUUAUAGGUUACU